rnacentral:tRNA from 1 species
GCCCGGGUGGUGGAAUGGUAUACACGUACGCUUGAGGUGCGUAUGCCAAAAGCUUGGAGGUUCGAGUCCUCUCCCGGGCA